rnacentral:tRNA from 1 species
UCGGCUUAAGGUCUCUGACUACAAACCUUCAAAGUUUGAGGAUUAUGCCGAA